CUUGAGUCAUCAAAGUUGUUUAGUCUUUCUGUUUGUGCACACACACACAUACACACACACACGUGUGUCAUUUGGAUUAUUGAAACACAAAGUAGUCGCAUUUUAAAUUCUGUAACCAAAGCCUAACCAAAAGAGCUUGCCCGCAGAGUAGGAAAAAAAAAAUAAAGAUAAUGUAUUUGCAACUACAUCAGGAAACCAGCUCUUCUGCACAUAGCAGGUAGAGAGUGCUUGGGGGUAAGGAAGUGUCUGAUCUUAUAGACAUCACAGAGACUGUCAGCUGUUUGUUUCCCCUAAUCAUUUUUAUGUUGUUCCUGAUGAGAUUUUACGACUUACGGUUGUGAAAACACUUUUUUAAAAAUGGGUUUUAAGACCCUCAACUACA